GGCCCUAUCGUCUAGCCCGGUCCAGGACGUUGCCCUCUCACGGCAAAAACAUGGGUUCGAAUCCCAUUGGGGCUA
rnacentral:tRNA from 1 species